rnacentral:rRNA from 1 species
GGGUUGUGAGGUUAAGCGACUAAGCGUACACGGUGGAUGCCCUGGCAGUCAGAGGCGAUGAAGGACGUGCUAAUCUGCGAUAAGCGUCGGUAAGGUGAUAUGAACCGUUAUAACCGGCGAUUUCCGAAUGGGGAAACCCAGUGUGAUUCGUCACACUAUCAUUAACUGAAUCCAUAGGUUAAUGAGGCGAACCGGGGGAACUGAAACAUCUAAGUACCCCGAGGAAAAGAAAUCAACCGAGAUUCCCCCAGUAGCGGCGAGCGAACGGGGAGCAGCC